UGAGAAUUUGAUCCUGGUUCAGGAUGAACGCUGGCGGCGUGGAUUAGGCAUGCAAGUCGAGCGGGCUUGCCUCCGCAAGGAGGCGAGUCAGCGGCGAACGAGUUAGUAACACGUAGGAACUUGCCUCAAAGACGGGUAUAACCCCGCGAAAGCGGGGCUAAUUCCCGAUAGUCUCCGACCCUCGCAAGAGGCGUCGGAGUAAAGGUGCGCAAGCGCCACUUUGAGAGAGGCCUGCGGGCUAUCAGCUAGUUGGUGAGGUAAUGGCUCACCAAGGCGAUGACGGCUAGGGGGCGUGAGAGCGCGUUCCCCAACGCAAGGGACUGAGACACGGCCCUGACUCCUACGGGAGGCAGCAGUCUAGAAGAUUUCGCAAUGGGGGAAACCCUGACGAAGCGACGCCGCGUGCAGGAAGAAGGCCCUCGGGUUGUAAACUGCUUUUGACAGGGAAGAAGUCCCGCUCAGCGGGACUGACGGUACCUGUAGAAUAAGGCGCUGCUAACUUCGUGCCAGCAGCAGCGGUAAUACGAAGGCGCCAAGCGUUAUCCGGAUUUAUUGGGCGUAAAGAGUUCAAAGGGGGUUGGGUUAGUCCGAUGUUAAAGCUUCCGACUCAAUCGGAAAAAUGCAUUGGAAACGGCCCGACUUGAGAAAAUCAGAGGCAAAUGGAACGGCCGGUGUAGGGGUGAAAUCCGUUGAUAUCGGCCGGAACACCAAAGGCGAAGGCAUUUUGCUGGGAUUUUUCUGACCCUGAAAGAACGAAAGCGUGGGUAGCGAAUGGGAUUAGAUACCCCAGUAGUCCACGCCCUAAACGAUGAGUGCUCGCUGUGUGAAGUAUCGACCCUUCACGUGGCUUAGCUAACGCGUUAAGCACUCCGCCUGGGAAGUACGAGCGCAAGCUUAAAACUCAAAGGAAUAGACGGGGAUUCGCACAAGCGGUGGAGCAUGUGGUUCAAUUCGACUACAACCGAAAAACCUUACCAGGGCUUGAAAUUGCAUCAAAAACCUUAGGAAACUAAGAUGUGUUCACAAGACGGGUGCAACAGGUACUGCAUGGUUGUCGUCAGCUCGUACCUUGAGGUGUUCCGUUAAGUCGGGAAACGAGCGCAACCCCUGUUGCCAGUUAUAAGUGUCUGGCGAGACUGCCGGCGUCAGCCGGAGGAAGGAGGGGAUAACGUCAAAUCAGCAUGGUCUUUAUGUCCUGGGCCACACACGUGCUACAAUGGAAAGUACAAAGGGUUGCCAACCCGCAAGGGGGAGCCAAUCCCAUCAAAACUUUCCCCAGUUCAGAUUGAGGGCUGCAACUCGCCCUCAUGAAGUAGGAAUCGCUAGUAAUCGUGGAUCAGCAUGCCACGGUGAAUACGUUCUCGAAUCUUGUACUCACCGCCCGUCAUACCAAGGGAGCCGGGAGUGGCUGAAACUCAACUUUAGUUGGGCCACGCCAAGCUCGGUGACAAGGGUGAAGUCGUAACAAGGCAUCCGUAGCGGAAGCUGCGGAUGGAUCAUCUCCUU
rnacentral:rRNA from 1 species